AUCCCUGUGGCUCAGUUGGUAGAGCAUGGUGUGUGCAAUGCCAGGGUUGUGGGUUUGAUUCCCACAGGGGGCC
rnacentral:tRNA from 1 species